rnacentral:rRNA from 1 species
AAUGAACGUUGGCGGCGUGGAUUAGGCAUGCAAGUCGAGCGAGAACCGUAGCAAUACGGGGACAGCGGCGAAAGGGACAGUAAUGUGUAGGUACCUACCCCUGGGUUCGGGAUAGCUGCGGGAAACUGCAGGUAAUACCGAAUAAUGUCUCCGGACCAAAGGUGUGAUUCCACCUGGGGAGGGGCCUGCAUCCUAUUAGCUUGUUGGCGGGGUAACGGCCCACCAAGGCAACGAUGGGUAGCGGGUGUGAGAGCACGACCCGCGUCAUUGGGACUGAGAUACUGCCCAGACACCUACGGGUGUCUGCAGUCGAGGAUCUUCGGCAAUGGGCGAAAGCCUGACCGAGCGACGCCGCGUGCGGGAUGAAGGCCUUCGGGUUGUAAACCGCUGUCGUUGGGGAGGAAGUGCAGGGGGGUUCUCCCCUCUGUUUGACCUAUCCAAGGAGGAAGUACGGGCUAAGUUCGUGCCAGCAGCAGCCGCAG